AGACCCGAAACCCGGUGAUCUAGCCAUGGGCAGGUUGAAGGUUGGGUAACACUAACUGGAGGACCGAACCGACUAAUGUUGAAAAAUUAGCGGAUGACCUGUGGCUGGGGGUGAAAGGCCAAUCAAACCGGGAGAUAGCUGGUUCUCCCCGAAAGCUAUUUAGGUAGCGCCUCGUGAAUUCAUCUCCGGGGGUAGAGCACUGUUUCGGCUAGGGGGCCAUCCCGGCUUACCAACCCGAUGCAAACUGCGAAUACCGGAGAAUGUUAUCACGGGAGACACACGGCGGGUGCUAACGUCCGUCGUGAAGAGGGAAACAACCCAGACCGCCAGCUAAGGUCCCAAAGUCAUGGUUAAGUGGGAAACGAUGUGGGAAGGCCCAGACAGCCAGGAUGUUGGCUUAGAAGCAGCCAUCAUUUAAAGAAAGCGUAAUAGCUCACUGGUCGAGUCGGCCUGCGCGGAAGAUGUAACGGGGCUAAACCAUGCACCGAAGCUGCGGCAGCGACGCUUAUGCGUUGUUGGGUAGGGGAGCGUUCUGUAAGCCUGUGAAGGUGUGUCGUGAGGCAUGCUGGAGGUAUCAGAAGUGCGAAUGCUGACAUAAGUAACGAUAAAGCGGGUGAAAAGCCCGCUCGCCGGAAGACC
rnacentral:rRNA from 1 species